rnacentral:rRNA from 1 species
GGAUGCGAUCAUACCAGCACUAAAGCACCGGAUCCCAUCAGAACUCCGAAGUUAUGCGUGCUUGGGCGAGAGUAGUACUAGGAUGGGUGACCUCCUCGGAAGUCCUCGUGUUGCAUUGCC